rnacentral:rRNA from 1 species
AGUGAACGCUGGCGGUAGGCCUAACACAUGCAAGUCGAACGGCAGCACAGUAAGAGCUUGCUCUUACGGGUGGCGAGUGGCGGACGGGUGAGGAAUACAUCGGAAUCUACUUUUUCGUGGGGGAUAACGAAGGGAAACGUACGCUAAUACCGCAUACGACCUACGGGUGAAAGCAGGGGAUCUUCGGACCUUGCGCGAUUGAAUGAGCCGAUGUCGGAUUAGCUAGUUGGCGGGGUAAAGGCCCACCAAGGCGACGAUCCGUAGCUGGUCUGAGAGGAUGAUCAGCCACACUGGAACGGAGACACGGUCCAGACUCCUACGGGAGGCAGCAGUGGGGAAUAUUGGACAAUGGGCGCAAGCCUGAUCCAGCCAUACCGCGUGGGUGAAGAAGGCCUUCGGGUUGUAAAGCCCUUUUGUUGGGAAAGAAAAGCAGCAGGUUAAUACCCCGCUGUUCUGACGGUACCCAAAGAAUAAGCACCGGCUAACUUCGUG